rnacentral:rRNA from 1 species
GGCUUCGUGUUAUUCUAAAUAUACGAAGUCGGACCCGCCCAGUGAGUAUUAAACGGCCGCGGUAUUCUGACCGUGCAAAGGUAGCAUAAUCAUUUGCCUUAUAAUUGAAGGCUGGAAUGAAUGGUUAGACAAGAAUACAUCUGUCUCUUUUCGAAAAAAAAGAAUUUUACCUCUGAAUGAAAAGGUUCAGAUAUUAUUAAAAGACAAGAAGACCCUAUCGAGCUUCAGAAAAAUUAAUAGACUUAAUAAUAAUCAAUAUAAGUAAAAGAAAAUCUAUUAAAUACUUUGGUUGGGGCAACCGGGGAGCAAAUAAAGCCUCCUUUAAUUUAAAAAUCAUACUUGAAUUGAUCCAAGAAUUUUGAUUAAAGAAAUUAGUUACCGUAGGGAUAACAGCAUUAUCUUUUUCAAGAGCCCAUAUCGAAAAAAAGGUUUGUGACCUCGAUGUUGGACCAGAAUAUCCUAA